rnacentral:lncRNA from 1 species
GGCACUCUUCUUCUAUAUAUGUUUGUGUUCUCAUCUAUAAAAUGAUUUCAAUUAAGUAAUAUCUAAGAGAUGCUUCUGAUCAACAUUCAGGAGAUGAUAGUUACCCAUCAGUUCUGUAAGAAUACCAAGGAAAAAGUCUUCAGACAGAUUCAUCAAGGAAGGCUUCACAGAAGAAAAGAGCAUUGCUGGUAGACCACAGAGAAUGAGAAGGCUUUAUACAGUGGAAAAACUUUCCAGAUAGGGACAAGAUCAGUAAAAGUUGGGAAAAGGAAAUACAUGUACUUCCUAGAACUGCAGAGUCCUGCAUGCCUGGUUGCUGCAAAAGAAUUUUUCCAUAGGUCCAUUCUCUUUUACAAAAAAAAAAAAAAAAAAAAAAAAAAAUAUAUAUAUAUAUAUAUAUAUAUAUAUAUAUAUGUAAAGUCAAAGCAUGUAAGCAUCAAUUUAUAUUUUUGUUAGAGCUUUCUUUAGCUGUAAUUCAACACCAUACAAUUAAAAUUGUAUGGCAUUUAAAAUACGUCAAUUUUUUAGUAUAUUAACAGAUAUGUCCAACUAAUACAUUUUAGAAUAUAUUCAACAAUCCACAUCCUUUAGCUAUCACCCCCAAAUUCCAUCAUCCCCUUUACCAGCCUUAAGCAACUACUAAUCUACGUUCUGACUUUAUAGAUUGCCUUUUCUGCACAUUUCAUAUAAAUGGAACCAUAAAACCUGGAUUGUAAGUGGCUUCUUUCACUUAGUAUAAUAUUUUCAAAAUUCAUCUAGUUGUAUUGUGUAUCAGUGCUUCAUUCCUUUUAAAGCUAUAUAAUAUUCCAUUGUAUGGAAAUAUUACAUUUUGUUUACUCAUUCAUCAGCUGAUGGACCAUUUCUUCUGUUUCCAUCUUUUGACUAUUAUUAUAUGGAAAUACCACAUUUUAUUUACUCAUUCAUCAGCUGAUGGACAUUUUUGCUGUUUCUGUCUUUUGACUAUAAUGAAUAAUGCUGUUAAAAAAUAUUCAUGUAUAAGUUUUUAUGUGGACACGUGUUGCCAUUUCUCUUGGGUGUAUACCUAUGGGUGGAAUUUCUGGUUCGUGUGGUAAUUCUUACUUAACUGUUGGACUGUUUUCCAAAGUGGCUGCACCAUUUUAUAAUCUCACCAGCAGAGAAUGAGAGCUCAUUUCUCUACAUCCUCACCCACACUUGUUAUUAUUUGUCUUUUGAUUACAGCAAUCCCAGUGAGUAUGAAGUGCUGUUAAGAUUUCUUUUUUUUUCUUUUUUUAAUAAUAAAUUUAUUUUUUAUUGGUGUUCAAUUUGCCAACAUACAGAAUAACACCCAGUGCUCAUCCUGUCAAGUGCCCCUCUCAGUGCCCGUCACCCAGUCACCCCCCCCCAUGCCCUCCUCCCCUUCUACCACCCCUAGUUCGUUUCCCAGAGUUAGGAGUCUUCAUGUUCUGUCUCCCCUUCUGAUAUUUCCCACCCAUUUCUUCUCCAUUCCCUUCUAUUCCCUUUCACUAUUAUUUAUAUUCCCCAAAUGAAUGAGAACAUAUAAUGUUUCUUCUAGGUACAAGUACCUUAUCAAAUGUAGGAUUUGUUCCCAAUCAGGAGAAAAGUCAGAUUAUUAACACUGCCACAUUUUAAAGGACAGAAACAAAAGUCUUCCAGUACAAGUUUAUAAAAAGUGUAUUAUUUCUGCAAAACACAUCUGAGUUUCUAUAUAGCAAUCAUCAAAUGGUUUAAACUCUGCUUUUUUCUAAACUUUCAUUAAAGACAUCACCAAUGGGGGCACCUGGGUGGCUCAGUUGGUUGAGUGUCUGCCUUCAGCUGAGGUCAUGAUCCCAGAAUCCUGGCAUGAAGCCCCAUGUCAGGCUCCCUGCUCAGCGGGGAGUCUGCUCCUUUCUCCCUCUGCCCCUCCCCCGGACUGUGCUUUCUUUCUUUCUCAAAUAAAUAAAAUCUUUUUUUAAAGAUUGAUUCAUUCAUUCAUUCACUGAUUUCAGAGACAUAGUGACCGAGAGAGAGAGAGCAGGGGCAGAGCGAGAGGGAGAGAUGAACUCCCUGCUGAGCAGGGAGCCUGAAGAGGGACUCGAUCCCAGGACCCUGAGAUCAUCACCUGAGUCAAAGACAGACGCUUAACUGACUGAGCCAUCCAGGCACCCAAAUAAAUAAAAUCUUGAAAAAAACUUUUUUAAAGACAUCCCUAAUGUUGGUUGAUAAUAAAAUAAAUAUGCAAAGAUAUAUACAUAAGUGCUUCUACAGAGAGGAACUUCUGACUAUCCCUGCAAGGUGCAUAAUUUUAUAAAUCAUGUUUUACAAAUUCACAUACUAGAAUUACAUUUCAAAAGGAGUCUUAGAAGACAUCUGGCUACAUGCUGUCUUCAUUAAAAAGAUGUUCUGUGCUACAGAAAAUGUGUUAGAGAUACCCUCUACAUGAAGUAUGACUGGAUAGUUCCAAUCUCAUAUGAUUGACCAAUUAGUUGCUUCCAAAGAAUGAAUACCACAAAUCCUGAAGAUAUAUAAACACUGGCUCAUUAGAGCAAGCCAUUUUCUUGUUAGCCUGUGGUCUCUGUUAUGUGCUGAAUGGUAAAAUGUAAUUCGCUGGUCACUCUUUAUGGACACCAAAAGAUUUCAUUUCUGAAAAUACACUCAGGGAAGAAAAGGUGUUUUUAGAUCACAGAAUUCAAAAAACAUAACUUUCUCUGUGUUCAAAGUUGAAAAAAGUACCACACUGCUCCUGUGCACUUUGUCUUCUGCCCUGACAAUUCUAGUGGGUGCCCAUUCUAAUAUUAUCUUAAAAUUCCCCUUCCUUGAGCAAUGGAGGCUGAGUGCAUCUGAAAUAGUUGAAUUCUACUCCACUGAGCUCAACCACAGGCCCUGCAUGGAAAGACCUGGGAAACAUUAGCUUGCUUCUGGUCUGGCCAUAAUGAAAAUAAAUGAGGGCUUCAAUUUAAAGUCGUUACUAAAAAUUUGUUCUUUCCUCCAUUCUAAUUCUGAGACCCACUUGCAGCUAAUUAGAACGGUUCCCAGCGUGAUCGCCCAGCACACUGCUAGUGUAAACACCAACCAUCUGAGUUUCAUUACAAUAAAGAAAUCAAAUAAACAGUGGACCAGAAAACAGUAGUUUGGGCAUGGCUCAUUACAGCACAAUGCAGUUAACAUUCCUCACUCAGGAAGGGAAAGAAGGCAUCGGGCAGUGAGGCUGAUGCCCAGCGCUUUCCAUUCUUAUUAACGAUGUUAGUGGGGCUGGGAUUAUUUCUUACCAUUAAAUUUUUUCUGGAGAAAGAAGAGGGAGUUUUUUUGUUUUGGGUUUUUUUUUUUAAUGAAAAGGAAAAAGAAGUUCUCUCUGAACCUCGUAAACAAAGAGAAAAGGUAAUUAUUUGCUUUGGACUACUCACUGCUUCUCCAGUUCCUCAUAAGAUACGUUGUUUACAAUUUAAAUAAGGAAAAAAGAAAAAA